rnacentral:rRNA from 1 species
UACGAAGGGGGCUAGCGUUGUUCGGAAUCACUGGGCGUAAAGCGCACGCAGGCGGAUUGAUAAGUCGGGGGUGAAAUCCCGGGGCUCAACCUCGGAAUGCCUUCGAUACUGUCUGUCUUGAGUCCGGGAGAGGUGAGUGGAAUUCCUAGUGUAGAGGUGAAAUUCGUAGAUAUUAGGAAGAACACCAGUGGCGAAGGCGGCUCACUGGCCCGGUACUGACGCUCGAUGUGCGAAAGCGUGGGAGCAA